rnacentral:rRNA from 1 species
GACGAACGCUGGCGGCGUGCUUAACACAUGCAAGUCGAGCGAUGAAGGUCCUUCGGGAAUGGAUUAGCGGCGGACGGGUGAGUAACACGUGGGUAACCUGCCUCAUAGAGGGGAAUAGCCUUCCGAAAGGAAGAUUAAUACCGCAUAAGAUUGUAGUUUCGCAUGAAACAGCAAUUAAAGGAGUAAUCCGCUAUGAGAUGGACCCGCGUCGCAUUAGCUAGUUGGUGAGGUAACGGCUCACCAAGGCGACGAUGCGUAGCCGACCUGAGAGGGUGAUCGGCCACAUUGGGACUGAGACACGGCCCAGACUCCUACGGGAGGCAGCAGUGGGGAAUAUUGCACAAUGGGGGAAACCCUGAUGCAGCAACGCCGCGUGAGUGAUGACGGUCUUCGGAUUGUAAAACUCUGUCUUCAGGGACGAUAAUGACGGUACCUGAGGAGGAAGCCACGGCUAACUACGUGCCAGCAGCCGCGGUAAGAC